rnacentral:rRNA from 1 species
UGGGGAAUUUUGGACAAUUGGGCGAAAGCCUGAUCCAGCAAUGCCGCGUGUGUGAAGAAGGCCUUCGGGUUGUAAAGCACUUUUGUCCGGAAAGAAAUCCUUGGCUCUAAUACAGUCGGGGGAUGACGGUACCGGAAGAAUAAGCACCGGCUAACUACGUGCCAGCAGCCGCGGUAAUACGUAGGGUGCAAGCGUUAAUCGGAAUUACUGGGCGUAAAGCGUGCGCAGGCGGUUUGCUAAGACCGAUGUGAAAUCCCCGGGCUCAACCUGGGAACUGCAUUGGUGACUGGCAGGCUAGAGUAUGGCAGAGGGGGGUAGAAUUCCACGUGUAGCAGUGAAAUGCGUAGAGAUGUGGAGGAAUACCGAUGGCGAAGGCAGCCCCCUGGGCCAAUACUGACGCUCAUGCACGAAAGCGUGGGGAGCAAACAGGAUUAGAUACCCCUGGUAGUCCACGCCCUAAACGAUGUCAACUAGUUGUUGGGGAUUCAUUUCCUUAGUAACGUAGCUAACGCGUGAAGUUGACCGCCUGGGGAGUACGGUCGCAAGAUUAAAACUCAAAUGAAUUGACGGGGUCAUAGCUGUUUCCU